AGUGAACGCUGGCGGUAGGCCUAACACAUGCAAGUCGAACGGCAGCACAGUAAGAGCUUGCUCUUACGGGUGGCGAGUGGCGGACGGGUGAGGAAUACAUCGGAAUCUACUUUUUCGUGGGGGAUAACGUAGGGAAACUUACGCUAAUACCGCAUACGACCUACGGGUGAAAGCAGGGGAUCUUCGGACCUUGCGCGAUUGAAUGAGCCGAUGUCGGACUAGCUAGUUGGCGGGGUAAAGGCCCACCAAGGCGACGAUCCGUAGCUGGUCUGAGAGGAUGGUCGGCCACACGGGAACGGAGACACGGUCCAGACUCCUACGGGAGGCAGCAGUGGGGAAUAUUGGACAAUGGGCGCAAGCCUGAUCCAGCCAUACCGCGUGGGUGAAGAAGGCCUUCGGGUUGUAAAGCCCUUUUGUUGGGAAAGAAAAGCAGCAGGUUAAUACCCCGCUGUUCUGACGGUACCCAAAGAAUAAGCACCGGCUAACUUCGUG
rnacentral:rRNA from 1 species